ACUUCGGGAUAAAGCUUGGCUCUGAUGAAAAUCAGAACCGAUUGUUACGCGGAGAGCCCAACUGUUUAAUAAAAAACGUAGUGUCGCGCUGUGGUAGUAUAGCCAGUGAACGCGACAUGAAUCCUGCUCAGUGCUGUGUCUGUUAAUAUGGUUCAAGCCAACGAAGCACCGGUAAAUAGCUGGGGUAACUAUGACUCUUAUCAAAGUAGCGAAAUACCUCGUCACUUAAUUAGUGACCUGCAUGAACGGAGCUAUGAGGUUCUCACUGUCCCAAACUGUCUCUCAGCGAACCAACUGUAGUGGGAACGGUCACUAGAUAUCCAGCGGGGAAAGAAGACCCUGUAGAGCUUCACUUUGGUCUAGUCUUGUAUAGUUCCUGCGGGGGUGUAGACUAGGUGGGAGAGCAAUCGAUUCUGAAAAACCACUACCCUGUUUGGAAUUAUGCUUACCUAUCACAAGGAAUAGGACUAGAUAGAAAGUUUGGCUGGGGCGGCACACCUUCGAAAGAGCAGCGAAGGUGUCCUAAGUUGAGCUCAGUGAGGACAGAAAUCUCACGUUGAGGAUAAGGCCAAAAGCUCAAUUUACUGUGCCUUUUUGUACUAGGAUCAGUUACGAAAGUAAGGCCUAACGAUCCCUAAAUAGCCUCAGGUGCGUGAGGAUUGGGGUGACAGACAAGUUACCUCCGGGACAACUGGCUUGUGGCUGCUAAGAGAUCAAAUCAACGCAGCUUUUUGAUUCUUCGAUGUCGGCUCUUCCUAUCCUAGUGAUGUACAAGUUGCUAAGGGUCGGAUUGUUCACCCGUAUUAGGGAUCGUGAGCUGGGUUUAGACCGUCGUGAGCCAGGUUUGUUUUAUCCUACUGGAUAUAGCAUCAUGAUAGUAGAUUGAUUUAGUACGAGAGGAACUGUUGAUUAUGGCCUCUGGUUAGCGAUUAUCGGAAACGGUAUGUCGCGCAGCUACGCCGUCUGGGAUAAUG
rnacentral:ncRNA from 2 species